UUUCAGCAUCUCCUGCCAGUACAAGCUCUUCUACAGCUGAGUCUCAAACAGCAGAGCUUUCAACAGCCUCUUCAUCAACUGUAUCUCCAACAUCAGCUCCUUCAAGUGAGAUUUUAAAAAUUUCUACAUUAUUGUGUGAACAUUUAAAUUGAAAAAUUUCAUUUAUAGGUCCA
rnacentral:lncRNA from 1 species